GAAGAAUCGAAUCGAAGUACUGUCGCCAGCUGGGCUACUCUCACUGGAUGAAUUGCCAAUUAAAACUGAUUUAAUACGAAGACGGCAUAAGGGAACCAAACCUUGAACCUGAUUUUGAAACUCACUUGUGUUUAAGAUAAUCAAACCAGGUAAUAAAACAAUUCAUUCUAUGAACCAGGUAAUAAAACAAUUCACUCUAUGGGAGAACAGAUAAAUUCCAUCAAAAAAGAAGAAGUGAAAUGGAAUAGUUGUUACUUACAACAAAGAUAUGGUGUUUCAGAAAAGUUUGAAAUAUUAACAUUACCACAUGCUAUACAAGCUGAUGGUAUACCAUGUGGAGUAU